GAGGAAUUCGCUGGCUUGCUCCGUAUUAGUCUUAUCCGCUCUCAACUGAACACUGACGGGACAAACUUGGAGGGAGGGACCCGAACAAAGUCAUCGUUAGUAACCAUAGCAACAGCGACAAGGAAGUCCGGCCACACACUAUAAACACUGCUACCAGCACCAGGAAGAAGCGUUCAGAUCCUUUACUUGGAUAAAGUAACAGCGUGACAAUGCCACAAUCCUGAAACUUGACACACUUUAGAGAUGCAGCCGUCAUCAAAUUAAUUGGAUACACUUGUGUGUUUUUUUGUUUCUGUAAUGAUAUGUCAAAAUAUCUGCCAUCACAUUAAAAAGGUUGUUCAAAUGAAAGUGUGCAGUAGCAAUGUUAUCUGAAAAAUGUCCAAAUAUGUACAGGUUUUUAACACGGAAGCCAGUUUGAGAUGUCCCAGAAGGUAUGACAUGUGUAAAUGUUAAAUUUAAAGGUUUAAUUCCAUUUAGCUGUGUCAGUCUCAGGGUCCUGGUAUUGUGCGUGCUGGCUCGCUGUUGCUGACUCCUGACUAGCCAGUACGAACCACAAGUGAUCAACAUCUACUUCACUCUGGAAUCAUGUUUCUGUUAGAGAUAACAACAUGGGUUGCAUUUUCAUUUUGAAAUUUUCAUUUUUCAUCAGUGGUGUUUUGGAACCCAAGCAUCAUCCCCCCUCAUUUCAGUACUCUUGUGAAUUUACAGCCGGAUAAACUUACAGGCUGGCCUGCACUCCCUGGUCCACACCCACAUGUCGCCUGACACGCCUGGUGGACAUUUGCACUCUACUGAACACACUCUUCUAGUAUUACAGUUUAGGACAUUGUUUUACCACUACUGAUGUGUUAAUGCAUAAGCAGCAAUUAAAGUUGUUGGUGGUUGAGGUAGAGUUAACUUAAACUAUUUAACAUAGUGUUAGGCAAUUUAUGAUACCUUGACCAGCUUUGCAUUUCUUAAGAUCAUCAUAGAUUUUGAAUGUAACAUUUUCUUAAUUUGAUUUUAAUUUAUGAAGACCGGUAAUGAAAUAUAGUACAUUUACUCCAGUUAUACUAGAACCUCAUUACAAUUUAAAGUCAACUAUUAUACCUUUUUACUCUGGCAAGAUUUUGCAGUGCAGUGAUGUACUGUUAUGGACUUAACUGACCUAUAAAGUAGUUAACAUUUUUGACCAAUUAUUUGACCACUUGUCCAGCUACAAUAGUAACUCAUUAAUGGAUCAUUACUAAUAUUGUAAUGAUAAAUAAGAGCUGCCACAGUAACGAUUCACUUUUUAUAUUGUCAUAAUUUUGCUGAUAAUAUGCACCUACCAACUCUGACUUAAACUCUAGCUUAAAGCAUGUCUUUGUAAUGGAGUGUGACUUUACUACUUUCACUUCAGUAAUAAAAGAAAAAAAAAUCUGUGAGAUGUGUGUGGAUGUAAUUCAGAGACAUUUCAUUGUAAAACAGUUGUAGUACCAAUAACCAUCAUAUGAUGGCAGUAUAUGACCUGCUAUUAAUUCACUGAAAUUAAACGAAUUUCAACAACAUUUUUUCCACUGAAAUCCAGGAAACCUGUGUUAAAUCAGAUGCUUUUUUUCCUCUCUUUUUUUAAUCAUUUCCUUGGAUUGUGCCUCCACUCUUGUCACUCAAACCACUAGGAGGCCCUCUGAAGCAGGUUAAUGCUGUUAGAGAAUCCA